AAUUAUAAUAGUAUAGUAAAGUGAGCAUUCUCCAGUGUGUUAAUGACAGAGUCGAAGAUGCUCGUACGUUCAUCGUAAACUUCCCGUGGCUCUUACGACAGAAGGUGCGCUGCCUUGAUAUUGCCUUCCUACCGUCACGUGAAACAAUUAGCUGGACAUUACGAUGACUCUACGGUUGAUUUAUUGAUUUAUGGUUCCUAAAACUGGCGUCAAACGCGUACGUUAUUGACGCCGGCUUUCUCAGUAGACCCAGUUUCCCUGCUACUAAAAACCUAUUUCUGUGUUUUACCUCUUGCUCAUGUGGACCAAGGCGAGAAAAAUAGUGAACUACACUCGAAUCAUUGUCAAAAAAUAAAAUUAUAAAAAUAUUCAUAAGAUAUCAGAGAGAACUUUGAUAAGCAAAAAAUAAACCAGUGAGCAUGUUGGCAAGCGGCGAGAGUUCAUCAUCAUCCAAUCCUUUCAGCUUUCAAGUCUGAUCAACAAAAAUUCUUCAGGAACAGCAUUUCAGUAUAAACUAACAGCCUACUUAACCUUAGGCAGGAAUUUCAAGCAUGCGCAGAGAGAGAGAGAGAGAGAGAGAGAGAGAGAGAGAGAGAGAGAGAGAGAGAGAGAGAGAGAGAGAGAGAGAGAGUUAUUUUCAAAAUCUGUCUUUGCUUACGUUCAACUUAAAAGAAAUAAGUAUGGUACAUUGUUCUGUUCAAACGAAGAAUUCAUAAAUGUGGAGAAAGGAGUAAAAUCGAAAUCAUCAUCAUCUAACUUUAAAAAAAAUAAUAAUAAAAUAAGAUUUAUGAGGUUGAGUCUUUCAUAUAUUUAGGAACAAUUGUAUCCAGUACCGGCUCUCUUGAGAUGGACUCCAAUAAAAGACUAAAUGAGGAUAAUCAUGCAAAAGACAGGAUAAAUAAGAUAUGAAACGCAAACAGACUGAAAUUGCAUACGAAAGUAUGAUAUUGCAUAAACUAAGUACGACCUCUAUUGUUAAAUAGACAAAAAUCUUGAUAUCAUAAGGAAACUAAAUCUAGAAGAUUUUAUCUUGAUAUGACAAUGAAACUAAAUCUAGAUUUUAUCUUGAUAUGACAAUGAAACUAAAUCUAGAUUUUAUUUUAAUAUGGCAUGAAACUAUAUCUAGAAGAUUUUAUCAAUUUCAGAAUACUGCUUAAAGAGGAAUAUUAAGAAUCAAGUGAUGAGAUAUUGAAAAAUGAUACCGUAAGGGAAAUUACUCAAGGUCGAUAUGUAUAUAGAUGGAUUGAAUAUUGAUGAAAGGGAGAAUAGUACUUUCUAGGGCCAGGUGGGUUUCUGUGGGCACCAGAAAAAUCAGAAAUACUACAUCUUCUAGUAAGUAUGCGACGGGAGGCAGGGAAUGAGUGGAGAUUUGUGGAAGUGAAAGGCCGGGAAACGCAUGAGGGACAGAAUUUCACAGAGGCCCUUUGCGUCGGGCGUCUUUAAAGGCGAUGAUGAUGAUGAUGAUGAUGAUGGUGAACUGGGAAAUAUGAGCCAAACUCUCAUGCUGCAAUCAUAAAUGGUGUCUUCCUACACAAAAUUCGAAGUGGCACGAAUUCAGUGCUUUUUGAUCAAAGCAACCUCCAUACAGACACAUUUGUAAGAUAACAGAAGUCAAUAGAAAAUCAUGGUUGCACAAUAAAUUUAACUUCACUGCAUCCUCCCAAAAAAGCUGCAGCUACCAAAGGAAUGAAGAAACAAGAAGCCCCAUACGCAAAAAGAGGACACUGGCAGAGAAGUGCGGGAAGGAGGAGCAAAGGACUUCAGAUGAGGAUGAGGCACCUAAUGGUACCUCUGGGAAAAGACUUCCAUUAGUGUCUCUUGGGUCCCUGAAAAGAUUCAACGAGUUCCAAGGCUUUCUGGCGGGGAAUUGACGAGACCCAUAUGGUUAUACUGCCAUCCCCUUAGUAACUAGUUUUAAAGGCAUCAAAAAAGUGAGUGGAUAUUUUGUUAUACUAAGUUUGUCACAGAACUCAUGGCUAAUAGUUUGAUUUUGAAAUACAGCGCUGUUCUUAAACACAUUUCUCUUUAUUUUCAUUUGUCCCUAAAUAAAACCAAAUCUGUUUUGUUCUGUUUUAUACUUUAAAAAUCGAAUGGUAACUUAGUUUAAAGAUGGGUGAAAGUAGACAUAAAAAAAACUAGGUAUAAAAGCCGUACUCUACGCCAAAUACUUCAGUAUACGAAAUGUGAAGCUGCAAUAUUAAACUUAGCGUAGUAAUAAACGGAGAA